UGAAAUCCUAGCAUAUCCCCCCUCCCCCCCCCCACCACCUGGGGGGACUGCAACAGGCGCGCAAAUUAAUGAAUCCCUACUCGGGGAGGUAGUGAAGAUAAAUACCGAUGCAGGGAUCUUUGGGGUCCUGUAAUUGGAAUGAGUACAACUGAAUUCCCUUAGUGAGGAACAACCUGGAGGGCAGGAACGGUGCGCGCAUCCGCGGUAAUUCCAGCUCCAAUA
rnacentral:ncRNA from 2 species